rnacentral:tRNA from 1 species
GCAUGGUAGGCUCAGUUAAGCAUCUGACUUCGGCUCAGAUUAUGAUAUCUCAGUUCGUGGGUUUGAGCCCCACAUUGGGCU